GUUCCCUUAGUUAAAUGGAUAUAAUAAGAGCCUUCUAAGCUCCUGUUCGUGGUUCGAUUCCACGAGGGAACA
rnacentral:tRNA from 1 species